CGCAAACGGAAUGAUUGAACGUGUCCAU
rnacentral:sRNA from 1 species